UACCACUUUUCGGGCAUAACUCACGGCGGGGCGGCGACGCGCGCGGCUCCUAUACGAAUCUCGCGAUUCGACCGCUCCGCCGCUGCGGCGCCCGUAUCGCAACUUGGUUCCGCCACGGCUCCGUUCUGCUGUUUAUUUGGACGGCCCAUCAUCUGAACUCCUAUGCCAGUUCAGUAUGUGGACCGCUCAUUCGUAUUUUCUACCUUCGCCUUCUUUUCAUUAACGGUCCAUAUUCUGAACUGGCUUGGAGGUCUACUUUGUGGACCGCUAAUUUCCUCGGUUAUUUCGCGUUAAAUUAGUGAGUACCCACCCGGGACCCCAUUCCCUCUCCCUUCUCCCGAAUGUGUGCAAGGGGGGUGGAGAUAUAGGUUAUGUUUGGGAACGGUCCAUAUACUAAACUAUUUCCGGGAAACAGUGCUUGGUGACUGGUCGUUCUGGAAACGAGUGUUGCAAGAAGUUGGAGUCAAAUUCAGAGAUGGAGGAGAUGGCAGCCAGUAAUGGAAAGGAGGGAUGUCUACAGGCCAUUAGCAGAGGGCCAAAGACGAAAUUUAGUAGUUUUCUUUGCUUCAUCGACAUGACGUGAAGUCAUCUUGUAUUGUUCUGAGCCACUAACGUUACACAGGUUUCAUUGUACACUUGUGAAGCUUGUUAAGGCAGCAGACCCCACUAUGCAGUAAGGAUGACCACUUUUAGGCAACAAUUUUUCUUCAAUAGAAAUCAUCAAAACACAAGCAUAGUAUUUCACCAAGUCUUGGUGUUAGAACAAAUUUUGAUUUGAACUUCUUGUCACACGUCAACGUUUGACAAUGCAAGGAAGCAAUUUCUGGCACUGUGGAUGUCACCAAACUGUUGAAGCCAACCAGACACAACAGCAAGCUGCAUUUAAUCCAGUAAAGUUGCCUUCCUCAUUUUUACAUCGAAACUAAAUAUGAAAGAAGAAGAGUGAUGAGUCAGCCAGAAUUCCUGUCUAUCAAUUUACUCUAUUAUGUUGGUAGGAUCAAACACAAAACUACUACUCUGACAUCAUUCCGACUUACAGCGUGUUUGAAGAAGUUACCACAUUAAUCUACAUUUUCUCCCAACAAUGAAACAAGGUGAAAUUUUUAGUAUUAAGAUUGCUUUUUCCUAAAACAGCUCAUAUUGUCAUGGAAUCUUUCAGGAAAUGCCAUUGUGAAUAUUGAAAAAUUUAAGCUGAGCAAUCAAAAAUGUCAUUAGAAAAUGUAAAAUAAACAUCUAAAGAAUCAAAUAGAAUAUAAAUUGAGAAAAAUAGGUGCAAUGAAUCAAGAAACUACUACCACACAACUUGCUUCCUUCAAUUUCAAAUUAAGUUGAAAUCGGAAACGGGAAUAAAGGAAGAAGAGUCAGAAUAACAAUCAAAAGGUGUAUUGAGCAAAAUACACAUAAAAUAUCUAAAAAAUUUCAAAAGGGCAGAAGCACUUUCCUCAAGGAAUCCGCAGCAGAGUGUAGGGUUCCGGGAGUUUUGCACUACGGAGAUAGAGGAAUGAUAUACAAGUCGAAAUAUUGGUGAUGAAGGAAAUAUAAUGUCCGAAUCGUCCCGGAAAAAUAACAUACAGUGUUGAUAAUCAUUAGAGCAAGAGAUAUGAAUCGAAAGAAUACAAAUUAAUUAGCUUAUAGAAUUGUAGUUGUCUUAGAGGACUUGGAAGGAAAUAUUUGUCGGUCUAAAAUUUAUCCCAAAAAAAAGGAAUUGUGAGAGUCGCUAAGGACUGGAGGAGCUCAUCUGUCCGCUUGACUUGAAAUUGGAAA